rnacentral:lncRNA from 1 species
CGGGGUAAACCGUCUGCUGUGGGAGUUCGGAGUAGACUGCUCGUAGUAGAAGUUCGGAGUAGAUCGCUCGUAGUAGAAGUUUGGAGUAGACCGCUUGUAGUAGAAGUUUGGCUCUUGCAGGAGCUCGAUUGGAAUCCUGAAGGCGGUUGACCACCGUAGAAACUUGGAUGGUGUCUGAUUACAGUAGAAAUCUCGUUGUCGAAGAAGCUUGGAUAUUGAUGAAGUCCAGAAGAAGUUCGGAGAAUAGUUGAUCACUGUAGAAGGUCGGUUGAUAGUGAGGCCUAGAGAGCCUUUGGAGUGGCCCGGUAGAUGGAU